ensembl:lncRNA
GUAGUGCUCAAUCUGACCAAAUUCUCAACUUGUUGACCUUAACAGGCCUGAAGCUUUGGAGAACUUAUUUGGGUGAGGGUUAUGUCUUAUUUCCGUUGCACUGCCAAGCUUUUAUGUUCAUUAAAGUUGCUGAACUGUGCUGUCCCUUGACAGCAGGAAGCAUAGGGUUUUUCCCUGCCAAGCAGGACAGGAUCCAGUGAGGCUGCACUCCCUGCUGUGGAUGCAUUUCACAACUGUAAAAAACAUCCAGAUUGUUUCCAGAAGCUAUUUGUGCUGAAAGAUUGUCUAGCCAUGGAUAUAUGUUGAGGAAAAAGUCUUAUCACACUGAGGUACUUUCAUCAACAGUAGCUCACAGAAUGGGACUGCACUGUUGCCAGAUCCAUAAUGCUGAAGGUCUCCUUUCAGAUGACUUUCAGAGGAGCAGAUUUUCAAGUCCAAGAACUGAAAUCCAACUCCUAAAUCAGAAGAUUCUCCGAAGGGGACAAGAAAUACAUUAACGAGUACAGAG